rnacentral:rRNA from 1 species
AAUUAACGCUGGCAGAGUGCAUAACACAUGCAAGUCGAGCGGACUUAUCUGAGAUUACAUCAAGGGUAAGUUAGCGGCAGACGAGUGAGUAACACGUAGGCAACCUGCCCUCGAAUGGCGAAUAACUAAUCGAAAGGUUAGCUAAUGCGCCGUAUUCUUUUUGGAAGGCAUCUUCCGGAAAGGAGAGGCCCGCAAGGGUCGUUCGAGGAGGGGCCUGCGGCCCAUCAGCUAGUUGGCGGUGUAAUAGACCACCAAGGCUACGACGGGUAC